GAGUUUGAUCGUGGCUCAGGACGAACGCUGGCGGCGUGCUUAACACAUGCAAGUCGAGCGGAAAGGCCCUUCGGGGUACUCGAGCGGCGAACGGGUGAGUAACACGUGAGUAACCUGCCCUGGACUUUGGGAUAACCCUCGGAAACGGGGGCUAAUACCGAAUACGACAUUUCACCGCAUGGUGUGGAUGUGGAAAGUUUUUCGGUCUGGGAUGGACUCGCGGCCUAUCAGCUUGUUGGUGGGGUAAUGGCCUACCAAGGCGACGACGGGUAGCCGGCCUGAGAGGGCGACCGGCCACACUGGGACUGAGACACGGCCCAGACUCCUACGGGAGGCAGCAGUGGGGAAUAUUGCACAAUGGGCGGAAGCCUGAUGCAGCGACGCCGCGUGAGGGAUGACGGCC
rnacentral:rRNA from 1 species